CCUACGGGAGGCAGCAGUAGGGAAUCUUUCACAAUGGGCGAAAGCCUGAUGGAGCAACGCCGCGUGCAGGAUGAAGGCCUUCGGGUUGUAAACUGCUUUUAUAAGCGAGAAAUAUGAUGGUAACUUAUGAAUAAGGAUCGGCUAACUACGUGCCAGCAGCCGCGGUCAUACGUAGGAUCCGAGCAUUAUCCGGAGUGCCUGGGUGUAAAGAGUUGCGUAGGUGGCAUAAUAAGUAGCUAGUGAAAUCUGGUGGCUCAACCAUUCAGACUAUUAGCUAAACUGUUAAGCUCGAGACCGUUAGGGGUAACUGGAAUUUCUAGUGUAGGAGUGAAAUCCGUAGAUAUUAGAAGGAACACCAAUAGCGUAGGCAGGUUGCUGGGACGGUUCUGACACUAAGGCACGAAAGCGUAGGGAGCAAACGGGAUUAGAUACCCGUGUAGUC
rnacentral:rRNA from 1 species